rnacentral:rRNA from 1 species
UACGGAGGGAGCUAGCGUUGUUCGGAAUUACUGGGCGUAAAGGGCGCGUAGGCGGUUCGUACAGUCAGACGUGAAAUUCCUGGGCUCAACCUGGGGCUGCGUUUGAUACGUGCGGACUUGAGUGCGGAAGAGGGUCGUGGAAUUCCCAGUGUAGAGGUGAAAAUUCGUAGAUAUUCGGAAGAACACCAGUGGCGAAGGCGACUUACUGGACACAUAUUGACGCUGAGGUGCGAAAGCGUGGGGGAGCAAACAGG